rnacentral:rRNA from 1 species
CCAGAUUGUAAGAAAUCUAUUUUACUUAGUUCUAUAUUUGUAGCAAAACAUAUGGAAAAAUUAAAGUAAUUGGUUAUAUGCCUUAUGCUCUUAUAGGUAUCUGGUUAGUUCCUAAAUGUAUUUAGUGCAGCUGUUUGGUUUAAAAAAGUGAUUGUAAGUUGGAUAAGCAACUUGUGCAGUUUGUAUUGACUAUUAAUAUAGUGUGAGGAAGGCUAGGUAGUCUUAAUAUUAGAAAAUAGUAGUUUGUUAUAAAUACAUCUUUGUGUUUUAUAGAUUGUUUUGGUGUGUCAUUGUGAGUAAGGAAUUUAAUCUUUAAAGAGAUUUUUUUAUGAUAAAAUUAGUAGAUACUCAGGUUUAAACUUAAUAAUUUAGAUGGAUAUUAAGGUAUAGUUGUUGUAGGUGUUUAGUGAAAUUUAUUUAAUGAAUUCGGCAAAACAGCUCUUCGAAUGUUUAUCAAAAACAUUUCUUCUAGGAUGUAAAUAGAGGUAGGCCCUGCCCACUGCAAUGUGAAGGGCCGCAUUAGCCUGAGUGUGCUAAGGUAGCGCGAUAAUUUGCCUUUUAAUUAGAGGCUGGUAUGAAUGGGUUAACGCGAGAGUCUCUGUGUCAGAUAAAAGAGUUAAAUUUAAUUUUUAGGUGAAGAAGCCUAAAUAACCUAGGAGGACGACAAGACCCUAGAAUCUGGUUUAAUCUGGCUAGUCAAGUAGUUGGAGUAAUAUUUGUUGGGGCAACAAGAUUAGUAGGAAUAAUCUGGUAUAAAAGACUUAUUCGUUCGUUCUGUUUUUACAAAGAUAGUAAGUUACUCUAGGGAUAACAGCGUAAUUUCUUUUGAUAGUUCUUAUUGAAAAAUGAAGUUUGCGACCUCGAUGUUGAAUUAAGGUAGCCUUAAGGUGUAGCCGCUUUAAAGGGUAGGUCUGUUCGCCCAUUAAAACCUUACAUGAUUUGAGUUCAGACCGGCGUGAGCUAGGUCAGUUUCUAUCCUCUAGGGGUUUAUAUAGCUCAUUUUAGUACGAAAGGAUUUUAUGAG